rnacentral:rRNA from 1 species
UACGUAGGGUGCAAGCGUUGUCCGGAAUAUUGGGCGUAAAGAGCUCGUAGGCGGUCUGUUGCGUCCGCUGUGAAAACUCGGGGCUUAACCCCGAGCCUGCAGUGGAUACGGGCAGACUAGAGGUAGGUAGGGGAGAAUGGAAUUCCCGGUGUAGCGGUGAAAUGCGCAGAUAUCGGGAGGAACACCGGUGGCGAAGGCGGUUCUCUGG